rnacentral:rRNA from 1 species
UACGGGGGGGGCAAGUGUUGUUCGGAAUUACUGGGCGUAAAGGGCUCGUAGGUGGCCAACUAAGUCAGACGUGAAAUCCCUCGGCUUAACCGGGGAACUGCGUCUGAUACUGGAUGGCUUGAGUUUGGGAGAGGGAUGCGGAAUUCCAGGUGUAGCGGUGAAAUGCGUAGAUAUCUGGAGGAACACCGGUGGCGAAGGCGGCAUCCUGGACCAACACUGACACUGAGGAGCGAAAGCCAGGGGAGCAAACGGG